rnacentral:rRNA from 1 species
AUUAAUUUAGGAGGGCAAAUCCGCUGAAAUUUAAAACUGCUAAAAUAUAAUUAAGCGGAAGAAAAGAAAAUAACUAUGAUUCCUUUAGUAACAGCGCGUGAAAAAGGAUAAGCUCAAUUUAGAGAAUCCUUCGAUUUUUUUUUAAAAGAAUUGUUGGAAUUGUUUCUUUUUUUUAUAUAAUAUACUCUAUAUGAUAACUGUUCUUUGGAUUAUAUAUUACGUAAUGUGUAUAUACAUCUAUUUUACAGGUACACAAGAGCAAGGAUAUUAAAAAAUAUAUAGGAAAUAUAAUGGAAAAUUGUCCCAAAGAGGGUGAAAGGCCCGUACUUGUUUUUAUAUCUACCUUGUGCUUAAAUUAGAGUUAAAAAUAAAGAAUGAGUUGUGUUUUAUGAAUAUGGGACACUAAUACGUGUGAUACAUUUCACAUAAAGCUAAAUAUGUGUAGGAGACCGAUAGCAAACAAGUACCGUAAGGGAAAGAUGAAAUAGUACUCAGGAAUGAGAAAUUAAAUAGUACCUGAAAUCGUUAAGGUGGAAAGGAUUAAGAGCGUGAAAACGUAAGGAAAUUAUUAAAAGUAUAUAUAUACACGUGCGCAUAUAUAUAUAUAUAUAUAUAUAUGUGCAUGUUUUAUUAUGUAUAAGAGAAAACUUCACCCCUUUCUCUUUGGUAUUUUCCUUAUUAUAAUAAACAAAAGUGAAUGAAAGAAAUUUUGAAGAUUAAAGUAAUUUUUUAAAAAGAUUAAAGAAUUAAUUAUAUAUAUAGUAAUAAAUUUUUAUUUAUUUUUAUUUAUUUUUAUAUAAUUAAUUUUUUUUUUUUUUUUAAAAAAUAUGAAUGAAUGAAUGGAAAACACUUUUUUCUGAUUAAAAACAUUUCUAUUUACUUAGGAAUAAAAAAUAUAUGUGUAAAGGUAGAAAGUAUUUAUAUUUUUUGUUUUUACAUGUGUAUAAGUUGUUUAUAAAAAAUACUCUCUUAAACCGACCGUCUUGAAACACGGACCAAGGAGUCUAUCAAAUAUGCAAGUGUAUAUGUUUAGAGGAAACAUGUGAAUAUUUUGUGUACGCGCUUGGAUGUUCAAAAUGUGUGAUAUAUGUAAUAAGCGUGCACAUAUAUAUAUAUAUAUAUAUAUAUAUAUAUAUAUAUAUGUAUGUAUGUAUGUAUGUAUGUGUGCGCUUUUUAUAUAUUUUCAUUUUCUUUUGAUUUGUAGAUUUUGAUAUGAAGUGAAAAAAAUAAAAAUGGGAAAAGAAAUGAAAAUAGAAAAAUUAAUUUUUUUUUGUUUUUGUUUUUUUUUUUCUUUUACUUUUUUGUAUAUUUUUUAUUUUUCUUAUUUUUCAUUUCAAUGCAUACAGAUUACUUAUUAAAAACACAAGAAAAAUUAAAAUAAAAAUUUAACAUGUUAAGAAAUAUCAAUUUUUUUUUUUGUUUCUUUUCUAAAUUUUUUUUUUUUUUUUUUUUUUCUAUUAUGUUUUUAACUAAGUAAAGAGUAUAUUUGAUAGGACCCGAAGGGCUUUGUACUAUACAUGUAAUUAAAAUUAUUGAGAUAUGAGAGUCUUUUUAUAUGGAUAAAAGAGUGUUAUUCUUAAAUACAUAUUUAUCAUUAAUUUUUAGUGAUUAAAGAAUAUUUAAGAAUCCUUUUUUUUUUCUAAUAUAUUACAUUGUAGGAAAUAUAAAGAAUGAAAAGCCUUAUAUUAGCUGGUUAUUUUCGAAAGAUCUCUCGAGAUCACUGGAGUUGAUUUUGAUAUAUUUUUAUCGUACAAGAUAAAUUAAAAUAUAUAUAUUAUAUAUAUAUAUAUACACAAUGUUGAUAUAAAAGAUCUAAUUGUGAAUUUUUUUUUAAAUUUAUAUUUUAAUUCUUCUUGAUACUUUGGUAAAAAGUGUAAAUAAAAUAAAUAUAUAUAAGUUGUAUAUAUAUUAUUUUAUUUAUAUAAAAAUAAGAUAACUCCAAGUGUACCAUUUUUUAUUAAAAAAGAAAUUGGUAAUGAGGGAUGCGCCUAAUGCUUGGAUAAGGUGCCUAAAUAUUCGCUUAUGAGAUUCUGUUUUAAAAUAAAAGGUGUUGGUUCAUGAUAACAGUAGGACGAUAUUCAUGGAAGUUGAAAUUCGCUAAGGAGUGUGUAAUAACUCACCUGCCGAGUGAACUUGCCCUUAUAAUGGAUGGCGCUAAAGUGAAUUACCGAAACCAAGCCAUAAAAAGAUAAAGAAAAAAAAAAAAAUUAAAAAAUUUAUAAUCAACUGGGGAGAAAAGGUGUAUAAAGAAAGAAGGAAAGAAAAUUUUUUUUUUUUUUCGUUUUUCUUUUCUUUUUUUCCCUUUUUGUUUGUUUGUUUGUUUUUUUUUUUAAUUUUCUUGUUUUUUAACUUUUUAUGUGUAGAAAAUCGUGGGGUUUUUUGUAUGGAAGCGAAAUACGUGAGUUUUCGUGGAACAUCUCCCCAGUGCAGAUCUUGGUGGAAGUAGCAAAUAUUUCAAAUGUAAUAACUUUGAAGACUAAAGUGGAGAUGGGUUUCUUGUAUAUAGAUUUAUUAAUUUAAAUUUUCAAGAGUUAGUCGCUUGCUUAUGAGUUUGCUACUUUUUUUUUUUUUUUGUUUUUAUGAGGUUUCUUCAUUUUUUUGAAGAGAUAAGAAAAAGUUUGGCAUAUGUGACAAGGGGGGGUAUGUGUUACGAUCGAACUUGUAUCAACCUGUACUCUAUUAUACUAAGAGAGGGCAUACAUUUAAUCUCUGACACCUGUAAAUUUUCCUCUACUCAAAUAAAAGUAAACAGGUUAAUAUUCCUGUACGUUCAUAAAGAUUUAAGACUGAACUGGUAACAACUUUGAACUCCAAUAUAUAGUAGCUACCUUCGGAGUGCGUAUUUUUGAAUUAUAUUCCUUUAUAAUUAUUGCACAUGAAAAAAAUAUAUAGCUAGGCCUAUGUCUUAAAUGCAAGAGUCGUAUACUUAGAAUGGCUUAGCACAGCGGUCGGCAUAUUAAAAUUGGCAUUUAGAGAGAAGAAUGAAAUUUAUACAUAUAUAAUUUAUAAGAUCAUAGAUUUUAUUUUUAUAAUAACUUCUUGUUCUGUAUUUUAUAUAUGAAAAAUUCAUUCUUUUUUUUUUUUGUAUCAUUUGUAAUUCUAUUAAAUAUUAGGGAUUACCCGAAUGUGUAGUUACUACUAAGGAAAUUGGAGGGAUAUCACUUAUAAGUUUUAAAAGAUAUAAUUUGAGUUUAUAUUCUUUAAUUCAUUAUUUGAACAUUCUUGGUUUUUAUAACAGCGUACCUACAUAACCGCUUGAGGUCUCCUGGGUUAACAGCCUCUAGUUUAUAUAGAUUGUAUAAUAGCAAAGGAAGUCGUCCAAUAUACAUUCAAAUGUAUAUAUGUAUAUGUAUAUAUAUAUGUAUAUAUUUGAGUGUCCUAAAUUUAGGGAAAUAAAUUUAUACUGAGUUAUAUGAUAGGAGUAAAAAGUAAAUUAUAGAGAAGAGGCGAAAAAUUAAAGAAAGAACGAGAUUAGAGUUAUUCUUCGGCAUAUUAUGUAAAAUUUAUAGGUAUGUAUGUGUAUAUGUACGAGACAAAUAAUAGUUUCUACGUAUAUAUAUAUGUAUGAGACAUUUAUCUGUUGUGUAAUAGUUACGUUACGUGUACAUGCCUAUAUUUGGUUUAUACGUAUGCUUAAAGGCUUUCUUCUUUUUUUUAAUUACUUCUUUAAUUUUUAUUUCCCCCCUCUUUUCAAUUUUCAAUAUAUAUAUAUAUAUAUAUAUAUAUAUUGAUAUUAUAUAUUUACUGUUUAGGUAAUAUACACUCAGUAUGACGUACGGAUAAUGUUUGGGAGUUUAUAGGUUUUUUGUCAUUGUGAAUGAAAUAAAAGGUUAUAUAAUAUUUAUAUUAUAUGACCUUAUCCUAUGUAUGCAAAUAUAUAUAUUAUAUAUAUGUAUGUUCUAUACAUAUAUAUAUGUAUAUAUAUAUCCUUGUUAUAUUAUAGCACGAUGACACUUCCUUCCACGUUCCUAGUAAGUCGAGUGUUUGAAGUGCUUCGAUUGCGUCCAAAGGGAGGGGUAGUUGUAAUGAAGGUUUAUUAUUUAUAUAAUUUUUAUAUUUUUAAUAUUCCUAAUUUACAACCACAAUUAAUCUUUGUCAUGUAAAAGUGAGAGGAUUAAUUUUUUUUUUUUAUACAUAUUUCCCUAUAAGAAUUGUAUAAUCCCCCACGACAUAUACCUUACUAUAUUUUAUCUAGCGAAACCACAACCAAGGGAACAGGCUUGGUGAAAUCAGUAGAGAAAGUAGGCUAUUAUUACUGUUGAAUAAUUUAUUAUUUACCCAAAUUUGUAUCUUUGUAAAACUACUUAAGAGGUGUAGCUUUAUAAGUGGGAGUAAUUGAAAAAAUAUAUAGAAAGAAAAAUGAAGAGGGCAAAAAAAAAAGGAGAAGAAGAACAACAACAAAUAAGGAAAGAAAGAAAGAAGGAAAGGGGAAGAAGAAGGAGGGGGAAUAAAAAAAAAAAAAGAAAUGAAAAUAAAAUUAGUAUUUAUAUAUUUUUUUUGUUUUCGUUUUUUUUUUUUUUUUUUUUUUUUUUUUUUUUUUUUUUUUUUUUUUUUUUUUUUUUUUUUUGUUUGUUUGUUUUGUUUUUCUUGUUUUUUUUGUUUUGUUUUUUCUUCUUUUUUCUUUAUAUAUAUUUUUUUGAUUUACGCAAUUGUGAAAUACCACUACUUUUAUGUUACUUUUACUUAUCCAUUAGGAAAAUGUAUAAAUAUAUAUAUAUAUAUGUUGUUCAUAUAUUCGUAUGUGUUACAACUAUAUUAUAUUUAUGUAUGUAUAUUUAUGGAGACAGAGUGUACAGUUUGUGGAGUUUAUUGGAUAAAGUUUUAAGUAUUAAGAAAAACGGAAUUUUUUUAUUUUGCUUUUUUUUUUUAUUUUUAACUUUUAAUCCUUAUUUAUUUAUUUAUUCAUUUUAUUUUUUUUUUUUUUAUACAUAUAUAUAUAUAUAUAUAUAUAUAUAUAUGUGUAAUUAGAGGAAGAAUAAAUACAAAUAUUUGGAUAGUUGCAAAAUAUAUAUAUGUAUUAUAUAUAUAUGUAUAAAAAAAAAGGAAAUAAAAUAAAUAAAUAAAUAUAAAAAUAAAUGUUUUUGGAUAAUAAUAACAGGAUGUAUUAGUUAUAUACUUGUGGCUGCCGAGCGAUAUUUUUAGCAACGUAGCUUUUUGAUAUGAGAAUGUUGGCUCUUCCUAUCAUUGAGAAGAAGAAAUCUCAAAGUGUCGGAUUGUUCAACCGUUAAAAGGGAACGAGAGCUGUAUAAAAAAAAUUUUUUUUUUUUUUAAUAACCAUCACGAGAUAGGUUAGUUUUUUACUCUACUGAAGAAUAAUAAUUAUAUUUAUAUAUUAUAUUGUUCCAGUAAUCGAACUAAGUACGAAAGGAAUAGUUUGGUCAGACAGUUAAUUUAGCUUUCGGUUGAAAAACCAACAUAGCAACUAUUUUAUGUCUGUUGUGAUAAUAGCUGAAAGCAUCUUAAGCUAGAAUCCAUUCUGUAUAUACAAUAUAUGAUUAUUUUUCUUUGUCUUGGUAAUUUUUUUUUUUACUGUUAAUGUAAAAAGAGAACAUAUAUUAUAUUACAAAAGCAUUUUUAUAAAUGUAUUUAGAAAUAUAAAUAAUCCAUUUUAUAUUAAAAUAUGUAUAUUAUAUAUAUAUAUAUAUAUAUAUAUGUGUGUGUACGUAUUUAUAAUAUUUAUUAUUUAACAACAAAGAAAAUGAAAGAAAAACUGUAGACGACUUUUUUGCCUCGGAGUGCUGUAACCAUGAUAGUAAACAAUUUUAAGUUUUACUAUUUGCUGAGGCUUAUC